CUCUAAUGCUGAACAACUGGGGGAAAGUUCAGUUUAGGGUUGGGGCCCUAAUGCUGACUGAGUGGACAUGAGUUCAGUUCAGGGUUUAAAACCCCAAUACUGACUGGCUGGAAAGAGUUCAGUUCAUUUUUGACUGGCUUAUUAAAGGGAAAGGUUCAGUUUAGGGUUUAAAACCCUAAUGCUGACUGAAUGGAAAAGUUCAGUUUAGGGUUUAAAACCCUAAUGCUGACUAAAGGAAAAAGAUCAGUUUAGGGUUUAAAACCCUAAUGCUGACUAAAGGAAAAGUUCAGUUUAGGG
rnacentral:lncRNA from 1 species